CUAACUGCAAGUCGAGCGGACAGAUGGGAGCUUGCUCCCUGAUGUUAGCGGCGGACGGGUGAGUAACACGUGGGUAACCUGCCUGUAAGACUGGGAUAACUCCGGGAAACCGGGGCUAAUACCGGAUGGUUGUUUGAACCGCAUGGUUCAGACAUAAAAGGUGGCUUCGGCUACCACUUACAGAUGGACCCGCGGCGCAUUAGCUAGUUGGUGAGGUAACGGCUCACCAAGGCGACGAUGCGUAGCCGACCUGAGAGGGUGAUCGGCCACACUGGGACUGAGACACGGCCCAGACUCCUACGGGAGGCAGCAGUAGGGAAUCUUCCGCAAUGGACGAAAGUCUGACGGAGCAACGCCGCGUGAGUGAUGAAGGUUUUCGGAUCGUAAAGCUCUGUUGUUAGGGAAGAACAAGUGCCGUUCAAAUAGGGCGGCACCUUGACGGUACCUAACCAGAAAGCCACGGCUAACUACGUGCCAGCAGCCGCGGUAAUACGUAGGUGGCAAGCGUUGUCCGGAAUUAUUGGGCGUAAAGGGCUCGCAGGCGGUUUCUUAAGUCUGAUGUGAAAGCCCCCGGCUCAACCGGGGAGGGUCAUUGGAAACUGGGGAACUUGAGUGCAGAAGAGGAGAGUGGAAUUCCACGUGUAGCGGUGAAAUGCGUAGAGAUGUGGAGGAACACCAGUGGCGAAGGCGACUCUCUGGUCUGUAACUGACGCUGAGGAGCGAAAGCGUGGGGAGCGAACAGGAUUAGAUACCCUGGUAGUCCACGCCGUAAACGAUGAGUGCUAAGUGUUAGGGGGUUUCCGCCCCUUAGUGCUGCAGCUAACGCAUUAAGCACUCCGCCUGGGGAGUACGGUCGCAAGACUGAAACUCAAAGGAAUUGACGGGGGCCCGCACAAGCGGUGGAGCAUGUGGUUUAAUUCGAAGCAACGCGAGAACCUUACCAGGUCUUGACAUCCUCUGACAUCCUAGAGAUAGGACGUCCCCNUCGGGGCAGA
rnacentral:rRNA from 1 species